rnacentral:tRNA from 1 species
GCUCCCGUAGCAAAGUGGUUAAUGCGUCGUGCUUAUAAGUUUAAAGCUUAUUCUAGAGUCACGCGAAGGUCGCGGGUUCGAUCCCCGCCGGAAGCA